GCGGGUAUCGUCUAACGGUUAAGACAUCGGUUUGUGGUACCGAGAAUUUGGGUUCGAUUCCCAGUACUCGCCCA
rnacentral:tRNA from 1 species